UCAUGAAACUCCUUGAUUUUGCUUUCAAAUCGUCCUCGCCACUGAACCAGUAUUUCUUUGUCUCUGUCAUCAUCAAAGUAUGUUGUCAUUGCUUUUUUGAUUUUUUCAUAGGUUAUCUUCAUUUCCUCAUGUAGAUAACUGAGCUCAACCUUGUCAUGUUUUCCGUUUUCAAUUCUGGUGUAAAGCACAUUCUCAAUGGUCAACAUGUUGCUCCUCAGGGCCCAGGUCCAGUUCCCAUACUGGACCUCAAGUUUUCUGUAAACUGCAAUCUCAAGUGUGUUUUUGAAACUGAAAACAAAGUUUUCAUUCAUCAGGGCAUUCCACAGGUCCUGAAUUUUGCUUUUGAACUGUGAGAGAAAAAUUUCAGCUGACUGUGAAGCUUUAGAGAGGAUGACGGUCUUCAGCUCUUGGACGCUUUC